CGCAAGGCUGGGGCAGGGGCGGGGGUAAGAGGGAGGGUGAAGGCGGGGGUAGGAAGUAUUGGACGGAGGAGGCGGGUAGGCGGUUGGGAAAGGUGGGGAUAGAAGGCAUCAGGUAAGCGGAGGAAGUGCGCCGGAAACGGCGAGGAUCGGUGAGCGGAGAGGGUAGCGGACAAGCCAAAGGAGGGGUGAAAGUGGUGGAUAGGGGGAGGAACACCGGUGGAGAAAGCGGCUAGCUGGACGAUCACUGACGCUGAGACGCGAAAGCGUGGGUAGCAAACAGGAUUAGAUAGCCGAGUAGUC
rnacentral:rRNA from 1 species